UACGAGGGGUGCAAGCGUUGCUCGGAAUUAUUGGGCCGUAAAGGGCAAGUAGGUGGUCUCAUUUGUCUGGGGUGAAAGCCUUGAGCUUAACUCAAGAAGUGCCCCGGAAACGGUGAGACUCGAGUAUUGGAGAGGGUCGUGGAAUUCCCGGUGUAGCCGGUGAAAUGCGUAGAGAUCGGGAGGAACACCAGAGGCGAAGGCGGCGACCUGGACAAUUACUGACACUCAACUGCGAAAGCGUGGGAGCAAACAGG
rnacentral:rRNA from 1 species